GUAGGUGAAGUGAUUUACUCAUGGAGCUGAAGUCAGUCGAAGAUACCAGCUGGCUGCAACUGUUUAUUAAAAACACAGCACUGUGCAAACACGAAAGUGGACGUAUACGGUGUGACGCCUGCCCGGUGCCGGAAGGUUAAUUGAUGGGGUCAGCGCAAGCGAAGCUCCUGAUCGAAGCCCCGGUAAACGGCGGCCGUAACUAUAACGGUCCUAAGGUAGCGAAAUUCCUUGUCGGGUAAGUUCCGACCUGCACGAAUGGCGUAAUGAUGGCCAGGCUGUCUCCACCCGAGACUCAGUGAAAUUGAACUCGCUGUGAAGAUGCAGUGUACCCGCGGCAAGACGGAAAGACCCCGUGAACCUUUACUAUAGCUUGACACUGAACAUUGAGCCUUGAUGUGUAGGAUAGGUGGGAGGCUUUGAAGUGUGGACGCCAGUCUGCAUGGAGCCGGCCUUGAAAUACCACCCUUUAAUGUUUGAUGUUCUAACGUGGACCCGUGAUCCGGGUUGCGGACAGUGUCUGGUGGGUAGUUUGACUGGGGCGGUCUCCUCCUAAAGAGUAACGGAGGAGCACGAAGGUUGGCUAAUCCUGGUCGGACAUCAGGAGGUUAGUGCAAUGGCAUAAGCCAGCUUGACUGCGAGCGUGACGGCGCGAGCAGGUGCGAAAGCAGGUCAUAGUGAUCCGGUGGUUCUGAAUGGAAGGGCCAUCGCUCAACGGAUAAAAGGUACUCCGGGGAUAACAGGCUGAUACCGCCCAAGAGUUCAUAUCGACGGCGGUGUUUGGCACCUCGAUGUCGGCUCAUCACAUCCUGGGGCUGAAGUAGGUCCCAAGGGUAUGGCUGUUCGCCAUUUAAAGUGGUACGCGAGCUGGGUUUAGAACGUCGUGAGACAGUUCGGUCCCUAUCUGCCGUGGGCGCUGGAGAACUGAGGGGGGCUGCUCCUAGUACGAGAGGACCGGAGUGGACGCAUCACUGGUGUUCGGGUUGUCAUGCCAAUGGCACUGCCCGGUAGCUAAAUGCGGAAGAGAUAAGUGCUGAAAGCAUCUAAGCACGAAACUUGCCCCGAGAUGAGUUCUCCCUGAGACUUUAGGUCUCCUGAAGGAACGUUGAAGACGACGACGUUGAUAGGCCGGGUGUGUAAGCGCAGCGAUGCGUUGAGCUAACCGGUACUAAUGAACCGUGAGGCUUAACCUUACA
rnacentral:rRNA from 2 species